rnacentral:lncRNA from 10 species
UUUGUGUCUAGCUCAGGGCUUGUAAAAGCACCAAUCAGUGCCCUGUCAAAACAGACCACUGGGCUCUACCAAUCAGCAGGAUGUGGAUGGCGGGGGUUGGCGGGGGGCAGAUAAGAGAAUAAAAGCAGGCUGCCAGAGCCAGCAGUUGCAACCUGCUCAGGUCCCCUUCUACACUGUGGAAGCUUUGUUCUUUCGCUCUUUGCAAUAAAUCUUGCUACUGCUCACUCUUUGGGUCCACUCUGCUUUUAUGAGCUGUAACACUCACCGCGAAGGUCUGCAGCUUCACUCCUGAAGCCAGUGAGACCACGAGCCCACCUGGAGGAAGGAACAACUCCAGAGGCCCUGCCUUAAGAGCUGUAACACUCACCGCGAAGGUCUGCAGCUUCACUCCUGAAGCCAGCGAGACCACGAGCCCACCUGGAGGAACAAACAACUCCAGAGGCGCCGCCUUAAGAGCUGUAACACUCACCGCGAAGGUCUGCAGCUUCACUCCUGAGCCAGCGAGACCACGAACCCACCAGAAGGAAGAAACUCCGAAAACAUCUUAACAUCAGAAGGAACAAAUUCCAGACGCGCCAUCUUAAGAGCUGUAACACUCACCGCGAGGGGCGUGGCUUCAUGCUUGAAGUCAGUGAGACCAAGAACCCACCAAUUCUGGACACAUUAUGACCUUUGUUUCCUGCCAUGGAAGAAAAUUUAAAUUCCCAGGCUGAAGAAGCAAAUUAGGCCUCUCAAGCAGAAACCAACAGGAGUUUAUAGGAAUGAAUGCAGGAGGAAAUGACACCUGAGUUGAGCAGUAAGAGUGUAUCACAAACUCAUGAAAAAUUUCAUAGAUGUCUCAGAAGAAGCAGUGAAAAAUAUUGGUUCUGAGAAGCAAUCAUCAGCCAGAGAGAUUUGUGAUCUUACUUAGAUGAUGUGUGAGACAGUAAAUGAAAUGAGGAGCAUUCACUUAAAUGUUGCUGAGCAUUUCUGUCUUCUGGGCUCCAGUAUCUGAGAGUUGAUUAUGAGUUUCUUCUAAUAUCAUAAGAAUGAAGGCAUACAAACAUCUUGAAGUACAAUAUGAAAUUUGUAAGUAUUUCUAGUGAGACUGUGGGAGAAAGCCAAUAAUUGUUCCUGGCAAUAAAUGGAAUAUUAAAAAAAAAAACCCUUGAUGAUAUGUUAACAAUCUCAAUUCCCAAUAUGCUGCCUCACUUGGGUUUGUACUCUUUUUAUGGUAAAGCUUUUUAUAAUAUGUUUUCUUUGAAUAUUAAAAUUACUUAAUUUUUCCUCAUUUUGGUAAUAAGUCUUAAAAAUUAAAUUAUUUCUAUACUUAUUCAAAUUAUGGUUAGUCACUUAAAGAAAAAUGGCUAUCUUGAGUCAUCUUUCAGUGGCUAUUUCACUUCAAACUAUGAAAAGCUUUUUCAUAUUAGCAGUAAACAUUUUCAAUAACAAAGGAGAUUAUCAUCAUUAAUCAUAUAAUUUAUUCCUCUUUGCACUGAAAUACUCAAUUUUUGUGUCUGGUUAUAUCUGAUUUCAUAUUCUCUUUCACAAAAAUGAUCUGUUCUUCUUAUUUUCUCAUUUAUUCUCCCAAGUUUAUUUUAUAUGCUAUCCUCUGCAUACAAUCUGAUCUCCAAAAGCCAUCCACACAUACAUAAUGUCCAUGACAUUUAAUGUAGACUAAACCCAUAGUACUUAUAUUCAUUGACCUUUGUAUUAUAUUGACUGUAUAUUUACUUGAGCUCUGCUUCAACGAUGGAUAUGAAGAGAGAAAAAUCUCUUUCUGAGCUGUUAUCCUACAAAUUUAUAGCCCCAAACACUGAAACAUUAAAUACAUUAUUGUUCAACAAUGUAUUUAACUCAAGCUAAUCAAUUCUCUUUCUUUAUGACAAAUAGCUGAGGAAAUACAGUUAUUAUCAAUGAUGUAUUUUUGACCGAUAAUCUCUAAAUAUUUUCAAUUAAGUUUCACAAGUCUUAACUUUACAUUUUUCUUUAAAAUGAGCAUAAUGAAAUCACUAAUAACAAUUUGAUCUCUAACAAAUUGUGUGUGUAUGUUUAGAGUUAUAACACAUACAAAAUAUAUAUUUAAUUUCUCACCUGUUGUUUUUAACUGUAUUUUAUCCUAUGGUAGCAUUCACUAGUGAGACCCACAUGCACACAAUUUUAGAUGUUAAGAGAAAAUAUUAAUAAAUUAUCUAGUUCAUUCUCAUAACUUUUAAAGAAGGCUUCUAAAAUACAGCCAGAUUUGAGGUACUUUAAUCAGUAUUACUUUUUAUUUAAUAGAUAUACAUAUUUAUUUUCAGCUAAUAUUUUAAGUCAAUCUAGACAGGUAGAUGAUUGUUUGCAAUUACUCUACUAUAACCAUACAUUUAUUUCUUCUUUUAGUAACCUUUACUUGGUAAGUGAAAUAGGAGGUGACUGUGAUGAACAAUACCAUUAAUAAAGAUGAAAUUACUACUGAGUCAGAAUAAUUUUUGAAAUUAUCAUUUUUAAUAACUUUUGCAGAUAUUGCAUGUAUUUGUUAGGCCAUUGUUUAAAGAAAAAGGACCAAAAAACUACAAUAAGUGUUCAAAAUAAGUGUAAAUGGCAAGAUAAGGAAUGCUGGUUGCCUUGGCAACUAAGAAACACAUUUAAAGCAAGAUUACCCUGGGUAAAAAUUAUAGAAAAGGUAAUACAUUUUUAUUGUCUGAAGUGAAAAUCACAACUCAAUAAAGACUGAUGUCUGUAUCAACUCAGAUUGUAAAAUUCAGUUACAGUGCUUACAUCCAGAAGUCAAGAUACUUUUUUGAUAAUUGUUUUCUUAUUAUUUUUUCCUGGAGAACCACUUCUCUUUGACGUCUGAUAGCAUUCAACUUAAACUUUAUACAAUUGUCAUCAUAUAAUUAUUUAUAAGGCAGGGUUUAGAGGACACUUUUAGAUUUGUGACAUAGAAAUUUUAAGAAGGCCGAUUCACACACACACAUAUAUGUAUAAGUCAACUCAACUCUCUAUACUUUGAUUUUAUUACCUCUUAAAUAUAAUUUUGUAUUGACCUCUUAACAAUAUCCAACGAGAAGAGGAAAGACUAGGAUAAAUUUUCUUGCCAUGGCAUCAAUACUCAAUAGGUGAAUUUCUAUAUUCAUUCUUAUAACUCAGAACAAAUUUUUAAUACUGAUUGCAAUUAGAGAAAAGUUUCCAUCAAAACUUUAAAAAGCUAAAAUAGCACUUUUUUAAUCUAUUUAAAAAAUCUAUAAAAAGGCACCUUUUCCUGCAUUAAUAAACAAAUGGAGCCAGUUGUACUUUAAGUGCAGUAAAUAUAAUGUGAAAUUUCUCAGAGUAUGUACAGUUAGAUGCUACUGAAGAUUGAGAACUGCAUAAUUAUUGGGAUUAUACAUUCACAAACUCUGUAAUAUUAUUUAUAUAAAAUUCUGCUAAGUAAAUCAUUGGCCAUGGUUAAAAUGAAUGGACUCCUUAAUGUAAUCUAAGUGAGGUGCUGAUAGCUCAGUCACAUUGAAACAACACCGAAUUUAGGCUCAACAUGAAUGAAGUUCAAAUCUGAAUUAUGUCACUUACUAUCUUUUUUACUCUGCCAACUCAAUUAACUUUAUGUGUUUUACUUAACUCAUGUUUGAAUUGGAAAUAAAACAGCUUCCGUGUUUCAUUAAGGUUCUGUGGUAAGAUUAAAACGUGAUGUUGUGUUAAUAAAUAACAACAUGUAUAAUACAGUGGCUCAAUCCGAUAAUCCCAGCACUUGGGGAGGCCGAGGCAGACAGAUCACCUGAGGUCAGGAGUUGAAGACCAGCCUGGCCAACAUGGUGAAACCCCAUCUCUACUAAAAAUACAAAAAUUAGCAAGGCAUGGUGACAUGCACCUGUAAUCCCAGCUACUUGGGAGGCUGAGAAAGGAGAAUUGCUUGAACCUGGGAGGCAGAGGUUGCAGUGAGCUGAGAUUGUGCCAUUGCACUCCAGCCUGGGCAACAGAGCAAAACUCCAUCUCAAAAAAAAUCACACAGAUCUCAGAUAUGAUAAUUAUGUCUCAGAUUAUUGGUGUAUAACUAGGUGAUAUUUUAUAUUAUUUUCAUUUAGUCAUCAAAUACGUGUUGUGCCCUGCCAUAUGCCAGGUGAGCAUUGGUAUCUUAAAGUAUAGAUAUGUGAAGACAUUUUUUUCUGCCUUACAGGAUUUCACAGAUUUGGUGACAUAGACAUGUAAUCAGACAAAUAAAAUAAAAGAGUAAAGUUUGAGAUUUAUUCAUUGAAACAAAGAAUGCCAAAUGGUAUAAAAUUCAUACAUUUUGGUAGGAAAUUUAUGUACAAGCAAACUACAUCACUAGUAUUCACCAUAAGUGAGUUGCUAAGGGCCUGAUAAAAAAAGAGGCAGGGACUCUGCUUCUCUGGUAGCCUCAGCUGAAUUAGGGGUCAGAGCUCUUUCCAUGACAACUUUUCUCUUCUCAACAUUCUUUUGAUUUUCAGUAACUGCUUUGCUUCAUCCCCAAAUGAGAGCCAUUGUCAUAGAGUUGGUGGCUUGAUGAGAAGGAAAACUGUGCUUCCUAAAUAAAUCAAGAAACAAGAUAAUAAAUAAUAAGUUAGUUGCUAAGGAGUAGAAAACAUGAAAAAUCAAUGUAUGAUAUUGAUGAUUUACAACAUUUUACUAUUGUGUAGAAUACUUUAUUUGAUGGCUGAACAACACUAGCACAGAUUUUCAGUUAUUAACAACAUAUAUGGGCAUGGCAUGGUGGCUUACACCUGUAAUCCUAGCAAUUUGGGAGACUGAGGUGGGUGGAUCACUUGAGCCCAGGAGAUUGAGACUACGCUAAGCAACAUGACGAAACCCCAUUUCUUCAAAAACUACAACAAAUUAACCGAGUGUGGUGGUGCAUACUUGUAGUCCCAGCUACUCAGGGGGCUGAGGAGGGAGAAUCACCUGAGCCUAGGAGGUAAAGGCUGCAGUGAGCCAGGACCAAGCCACUG